AUCAAAUUCUGUACUGUGGACAUCACAUGGAUUGAGGAGAUGCGCUUCAGUACUAGGAGACCCAACAUUAGGUGGUUCAGAAUGCUUUAAUGGAACUUCUGUCCUCUUAGGUACAAAAGGUUGUGGAGAAUGAUCCCACAGGCUAAUUUGCUGAAGUGAGUUGGCAUCUGAAAUACCAGGUGCAUUUGCUUCUAAACUUGUUCUUCUCACUUGCCCUGAGCAUGUACCUCUUCUCAGCACUGGAGCUUCAGUACCAGGAGACCCAACAUUAGGAGGUUCAGAAUGCUGUAAUGAAACUUCUGUCCUCUUAGGUACAAAAGGUUGUGGAGAAUGAUCCCACAGGCUAAUUUGCUGAAGUGAGUUGGCAUCUGAAAUACCAGGUGCAUUUGCUUCUAAACUUGUUCUUCUCACUUGCCCUGAGCAUGUACCCCUUCUCAGCACUGGAGCUUCAGUAAUAAGAUUGCAACUGUCUUC
rnacentral:lncRNA from 1 species